GGAUCCACGCUGACGGCCGACCUGGACAGAAGACGGAGCAUUAGAACGACAGCUAAAAGGUACAGGUGUGGAGCAGAGAGCAGCUAAUAGGUACAGAUGUGGAGCAGAGAGCAGCUAAAAGGUACAGGUGUGGAGCAGAGAGCAGCUAAUAGGUACAGGUGUGGAGCAGAGAGCAGCUAAAAGGUACAGGUGUGGAGCAGACUGCAGCUAAUAGGUACAGGUGUGGAGCAGAGAGCAGCUAAAAGGUACAGGUGUGGAGCAGAGAGCAGCUAAAAGGUACAGGUGUGGAGCAGAGAGCAGCUAAUAGGUACAGGUGUGGAGCAGAGAGCAGCUAAUAGGUACAGGUGUGGAGCAGAGAGCAGCUAAUAGGUACAGGUGUGGAGCAGAGAGCAGCUAAUAGGUACAGGUGUGGAGCAGACUGCAGCUAAAAGGUACAGGUGUGGAGCAGACUGCAGCUAAAAGGUACAGGUGUGGAGCAGAGAGCAGCUAAAAGGUACAGGUGUGGAGCAGACUGCAGCUAAAAGGUACAGGUGUGGAGCAGAGAGCAGCUAAAAGGUACAGGUGUGGAGCAGAGAGCAGCUAAAAGGUACAGGUGUGGAGCAGAGAGCAGCUAAUAGGUACAGGUGUGGAGCAGACUGCAGCUAAUAGGUACAGGUGUGGAGCAGACUGCAGCUAAAAGGUACAGGUGUGGAGCAGAGAGCAGCUAAUAGGUACAGGUGUGGAGCAGAGAGCAGCUAAUAGGUACAGGUGUGGAGCAGACUGCAGCUAAUAGGUACAGGUGUGGAGCAGACUGCAGCUAAUAGGUACAGGUGUGGAGCAGACUGCAGCUAAAAGGUACAGGUGUGGAGCAGAGAGCAGCUAAAAGGUACAGGUGUGGAGCAGACUGCAGCUAAUAGGUACAGGUGUGGAGCAGACUGCAGCUAAUAGGUACAGGUGUGGAGCAGAGAGCAGCUAAUAGGUACAGGUGUGGAGCAGAGAGCAGCUAAUAGGUACAGGUGUGGAGCAGAGAGCAGCUAAUAGGUACAGGUGUGGAGCAGAGAGCAGCUAAUAGGUACAGGUGUGGAGCAGAGAGCAGCUAAAAGGUACAGGUGUGGAGCAGAGAGCAGCUAAAAGGUACAGGUGUGGAGCAGACUACAGCUAAUAGGUACAGGUGUGGAGCAGACUGCAGCUAAAAGGUACAGGUGUGGAGCAGAGAGCAGCUAAAAGGUACAGGUGUGGAGCAGACUGCAGCUAAAAGGUACAGGUGUGGAGCAGACUGCAGCUAAAAGGUACAGGUGUGGAGCAGAGAGCAGCUAAAAGGUACAGGUGUGGAGCAGAGAGCAGCUAAUAGGUACAGGUGUGGAGCAGAGAGCAGCUAAAAGGUACAGGUGUGGAGCAGAGAGCAGCUAAAAGGUACAGGUGUGGAGCAGAGAGCAGCUAAAAGGUACAGGUGUGGAGCAGAGAGCAGCUAAUAGGUACAGGUGUGGAGCAGAGAGCAGCUAAAAGGUACAGGUGUGGAGCAGAGAGCAGCUAAAAGGUACAGGUGUGGAGCAGAGAGCAGCUAAAAGGUACAGGUGUGGAGCAGAGAGCAGCUAAAAGGUACAGGUGUGGAGCAGAGAGCAGCUAAUAGGUACAGGUGUGGAGCAGAGAGCAGGUAGAAAGCAUGAAACCUGCUCUCUGCUGUUUAUAGUUCCACUCCAUCGUCCAGUUUCUAGAUUAUUUAUCGUCUCACUUUUUGAUCCUUCAAGUUCAGAUUAUUG